AUGACCAAAAUAAAACUAGGCGGGAAAAUGAAAUACUCUGGCCAAAUGCUAAGAUGAAAUACACUUUGCAGAAGUCACUCUCUACUCCUCCACCACACUCAUCCAUUUCAAACCCUAAAUCAUAUUCUCACCAAUUUCACUCUUUCUUCUUCUUCUCUUCUUUUUCUUGGUUGAGUUCUUUAACCGGAUCGGAGUAUCUGAAUACGAGUAGUAGUAAAAAUGGUUUCGGAUUCGGAGCUGGUGAAUCGGCUCUGGGAUGUGCUCCAGACCUCCGACCUCAAUACCACCACCGCCCGCUCCGUCCGGCGUACCCUAGAGUCAGAGUUCGACAUCGACUUGUCUGACCGCAAACCCUUCUUCCGAGACCAAAUUGAUUCUUUCCUCGAUACCUGUGUUCAGAGGACCCACAACAACGCUGUCAUUGUUGAAGAAGAAGAUGAAGAAGCGAUUCACGAGGAAGCUUCAGAGACUUUGAAACUUAAAGACAACAAGUCUGUGUCCGAAGAAGAAGAAGAAAGUAAUGGACAGAGACGCAAGAAACGAAGAGAAAGGGUGAGGAGGUUGCUUCAUAUUUGAACGGUUGUUGUAUGUUUCUUGUUGGAAUGAUGGGCUCCGAAAAGACUACAAUGGGCAAGGUUUUGUCUGAAGCACUAGCUUAUUCUUUUGUUGACAGGUUAGUGCGUUACCUUUAAUGUGCUUGUUCUGUUUUUUGAUGAGUACAAUAUUUUAUAGACCAAAAAACACCAUAAGGGGAUGAACCCUGAACAAUACCAAGCAAAAACUAUAUACAUCAUACUUGGGAUUACUUAACGUGGAGGUCAUUUAGUUUGUCUUCAUUAGUUGGUUUUGAAAGGUGUAUUGUAUAUAGGUUCUGGAGUUAAGUUUGGAAUCUGAAAAAAGUACGAAGUGUGUGGAUUUAGACAAUUUAAAAUAUAUAUAUAUAUAUAUAUAUAUAUAUUUUUCCCCAUUGAUAUGGUAGAAUGCUACUAACAUUUAAGGUCCUUCAACUUAUAAAAAGAAUGUCUAUUGGUGCAAACAAGAUAUGCAGAACUGAAUACUAAAUUGGUUAGGCUUGAGUUUAUAGGAUUUAAAUUGAGCUCAGGCAUUUUGAAACUUGAUUUGUAUAACCAAGCUUCAGCUUGUUAACUAGCCUAAUCGAACAUACAUAUAUUGCCAUUUCAUAGCAUACUAGUAGAAUUAGUGAUUGGAAGUUGCUGGCAUACAACACUUGCUUACUCUAUUGCCCAUGAAACUGCAGUGGCUUUGUAGUAUUUGUCAGCAUCUUUCACUUUGAAUCAAGCUUAGUGAUGUUCAACUUGGCUUGUUAGGUCCCCAGAAAGAUGGCAAAUAGGGGGAUGAAAAGAGUCUCUAUUAUCUUUAAAAUGUUCCAGAUUUCAGAUUUUUUUAGUCUCUAUUUUACACUUUUACAUGACAACAUUUCAUGUACAUAUUGUAAGCUGCAUGCUUGUUUCAAUUCUUUGCAACUCCUUUCACAUAAGUUGUUCUUGCUGGUGUCUAAUGAAUUCUCUGCAUAUCCAAAAAGAGAAAAUAUGAAGAAAGUAGUGGUUGCAAUAAUGUAUUUCUUGUUGGAAUUCAGUAAUAAAGCUUCUUCUUUCAUCACUCAAUUUCGUUUAGUGAUUCCAUUUAUACCUAACAUGGGAUGUACAAAGGUUUCAUUUUGACAUUCAAAUAUUACAAAAUGUAUUAAAAGCAAAUGUCUUCAUUGUUUUGCAUGGGUCAAUCACCAUGGAAGGAAGUAGAGGGAUCAAAUCGAAUCAAUCAGGAUACUUGUGGAAAGUUCAGUGAUAAAUUUCAUUAAAAAUGAAGCAGUAGGUUUUAAAGAAGUCCUUGAAGAACGGUAAUUGGAGUUUUUGGUAUUUUUUUAAUUUUUAAUUUUUGAGUCUUCUAAAAGGCUUCAAAAACAUUGAAGAACAUACCAACGAUGGACAUGUGUGUAUCAAAAGUUGAUUAGGAAAUUGGUAAGAGUUCAUAAAAAUAUCCUCUUGCGGUUUUUUUUUUUUAAUUGUCGAUAUUCCAUUGGACACCUCCUUUCCUUUCCCAUAAAAUAUCCUGGAUAUUUUCUCCUCAAAAGGCAUGUCAUGUUGGGACCAAAUUUCAUGGUACAUAUGGAAAAACUAUCAUUUGGUGGGAGUAAUUGUUAUAACAGAUUAGUCAAACUAAAUUACAUGUAUAUUGAGCAUCUGAUUUUUUUGACAAAGUAUGUUGAGUUU